UGAAAUUCCCAGAUGAUGCCAUUUUGGGAGGAGUUGCAAACACCAGUGAGGACAGAAAAAUAAGACACAGGAGCUGGGAGAGAUUAGAAACACGGUGAAGGAAGCUGGAAAGGUUCCAGCCACAAAACCUGAAGUAUCCAGUCAGAGCCAUCCCAAGACAGCGAGCCAAAUGAACAGGAGGGCAACUGAGAGACGGCAGUGCAGACCAUGGCCAUCAUCCAUGCUACCCCACUGAUGGACACCAAGUGCCUGCCAUCCCCCUCCCCCCUUAAAACAAGGCUACCCCCUCCACGCAGCCUGCC